rnacentral:sRNA from 1 species
GCCCUUCGGUCGGUCCCGGGGGGGCAAGCUCAGGAUGAGGAUUUUGUGCAGACCGAGGCCAACAGACGUCCUCACCCUGAGCUUGUCGAAG